AUUGAACGCUGGCGGAAUGCUUUACACAUGCAAGUCGAACGGCAGCACGGGGGCAACCCUGGUGGCGAGUGGCGAACGGGUGAGUAAUACAUCGGAACGUGCCCAGUCGUGGGGGAUAACGUAGCGAAAGCUACGCUAAUACCGCAUACGAUCUCUGGAUGAAAGCGGGGGACUCGCAAGGGCCUCGCGCGAUUGGAGCGGCCGAUGGCAGAUUAGGUAGUUGGGGGGUAAAGGCUCACCAAGCCGACGAUCUGUAGCUGGUCUGAGAGGACGACCAGCCACACUGGGACUGGAGACACCGGCCCAGACUCCGUACGGGAGGCAGCAGGUGGGGUAAUUUU
rnacentral:rRNA from 1 species